GCAGACACAUUCCAGCCAAUCAGCAGCAGACCCUCCCUCCCAGACCCUCCCUCCCCCUGGACAGCAUCCAUUUUACAUUCAUUGUGAAGCUGCAUUCUUAGUGAGCUGUCCAGGAGGUGGGAGGGUCUGGGAGGGAGGGUCUGCUGCUGAUUGGCUGGAAUGUGUCUG